GGGCAGGUGGCGGAACGGUAUACGCGUAGGUCUCAAAAACCUAUGGAGGCAACUCCUUGAGGGUUCAAAUCCCUCUCUGCCCA
rnacentral:tRNA from 1 species